rnacentral:rRNA from 1 species
AACGAACGCUGGCGGCAUGCCUAACACAUGCAAGUCGAACGAGACCUUCGGGUCUAGUGGCGCACGGGUGCGUAACGCGUGGGAACCUGCCCUUAGGUUCGGAAUAACUCCCCGAAAGGGGUGCUAAUACCGGAUAAUGUCUUCGGACCAAAGAUUUAUCGCCUUUGGAUGGGCCCGCGUUGGAUUAGCUAGUUGGUAGGGUAAAAGCCUACCAAGGCGACGAUCCAUAGCUGGUCUGAGAGGAUGAUCAGCCACACUGGGACUGAGACACGGCCCAGACUCCGUAGGGAUGGAGCAGAGGGGAAAAUUGGAGCAAGGGCGAAAGACUGAUCCAGCAAUGGCGCGGAGGUGAUGAAGGCCUUAGGGUUGUUAAGGUCUUUUACCCGGGAUGAUAAUGACAGUACCGGGAGAAUAAGCUCCGGCUAACUCCGUG